AAAACAAGCUGGCUUGUCGCUUUGGUUAUGUAAGGCCAAAGAGGAAAGUCCGGGCAAUAUAGAGCACCCUACUUCCUAACGGGAAGGCAUAUUUAGACCGCUUUCGAAACUUGCUUUCGAAAGCGGUCUAAAUAUAUGACAGCAAGUGCCACAGAAAACAAACCGCUAUCUCUGGAUAGUAAGGGUGAAAAGGUAAGGUAAGAGCUUACCGCUCUAUGGGUGACCAUAGAGGCAGGGUAAACCUUAGGGAUUGCAAGGCCAAAUAGGCAUGGCUACGCUAUAGCGUGACGGGCUGCUCGUUCGUUUUUAAGCCAUGUGGGUGGGCCGCUAGAGGCCAUAAGUGAUUAUGGCUCCAGAUAAAUGACAAGCAGUGCGCCUUGGCGCACUACAGAACCCGGCUUAUAGGCUUGUUUUUCUU
rnacentral:RNase_P_RNA from 2 species